rnacentral:rRNA from 1 species
CAAACUGGGGAUGGCGACCGGCGCACGGGUGAGUAACACGUAUCCAACCUGCCGAUAACUCGGGGAUAGCCUUUCGAAAGAAAGAUUAAUACCCGAUGGCAUAAUAGAACCGCAUGGUUUGAUUAUUAAAGAAUUUCGGUUAUCGAUGGGGAUGCGUUCCAUUAGGCAGUUGGUGGGGUAACGGCCCACCAAACCUUCGAUGGAUAGGGGUUCUGAGAGGAAGGUCCCCCACAUUGGAACUGAGACACGGUCCAA